ACCUUCAAAAAUAGCCACAUCAACUUUCAGUUUAAUCGCAAUUUGCACCUGCGUUGAUUAUUACCUUGAUCGGUGGUGAUAUGGCUGUCGGAUUUUGUUGACGUGUGCGAUUUUCCAAUAUAGUAAAACAACGUCGUUUUGUCAAGCUCUUUUAAAUUAAAAAUAAAAAUAAAAAAAAGGAAAAAUCAUUUUGUUCCAGUUUUUCCACAGCGCCCUUAGUCCGUCGACCACCGCGCACCGCCUCUCCGCCCACCUCUCUCAUCACUCCAGUGCCACCUUCUUUCCCAGCUAGCCGCGAAAGGCGUGGCCUUGAUUUCCGACGCUGAGCAACUCCACCGCCACUACUGCUCUGGUUGCUGUACUACGACCACCGCGCUCCUCCAAUCCCCGCCGAGAUUCACCACCCUCUCUUACUUCACAAUUUCCAGAUUUUCAGGCUAGGGCACAUCAGAUUUGUGCUUGCU
rnacentral:lncRNA from 1 species